UUUCAUUGCUCGUUUACGUUCGAAUUAUUUUGAGUGGAAAAUCAAAAGUGGCUACCAUUGUUGUGAAUGUUGAUUAUGAUUCAUCUUUGCAUACAAUUAUGUAAGAUAGAUUCCGAGGGGAAGGCACAGAAGGUUGUUGGUUGCUCCUGUGUAGUUGUGAAAGAUUACGGUGAACAACACGAGGCAGUUGAAGUUGUUAAGCAGCACAAGGAUUAAGUGAUCAUAGGACAGUUUAUUUGGUAAAAUCAUAGUUACUUUUCUGGAUCAUCUAUGAUUUUUGGUAGUAAACAACGGAUUAAUAUGCCUGAGAAUUUUCUAUUUUCGAAGUCGUUGCAAUGUUGAACUGCUUGGUGUUUCAUA